GGGACACGUGGUAUCCUGUCUGAAUAUGGGGGGACCAUCCUCCAAGGCUAAAUACUCCUGACUGACCGAUAGUGAACCAGUACCGUGAGGGAAAGGCGAAAAGAACCCCGGCGAGGGGAGUGAAAAAGAACCUGAAACCGUGUACGUACAAGCAGUAGGAGCCCACUAGUUGGGUGACUGCGUACCUUUUGUAUAAUGGGUCAGCGACUUAUAUUCUGUAGCAAGGUUAACCGUAUAGGGGAGCCGCAGGGAAACCGAGUCUUAACUGGGCGUUAAGUUGCAGGGUAUAGACCCGAAACCCGGUGAUCUAGCCAUGGGCAGGUUGAAGGUUGGGUAACACUAACUGGAGGACCGAACCGACUAAUGUUGAAAAAUUAGCGGAUGACUUGUGGCUGGGGGUGAAAGGCCAAUCAAACCGGGAGAUAGCUGGUUCUCCCCGAAAGCUAUUUAGGUAGCGCCUCGUGAACUCAUCUUCGGGGGUAGAGCACUGUUUCGGCUAGGGGGUCAUCCCGACUUACCAACCCGAUGCAAACUACGAAUACCGAAGAAUGUUAUCACGGGAGACACACGGCGGGUGCUAACGUCCGUCGUGAAGAGGGAAACAACCCAGACCGCCAGCUAAGGUCCCAAAGUCAUGGUUAAGUGGGAAACGAUGUGGGAAGGCCCAGACAGCCAGGAUGUUGGCUUAGAAGCAGCCAUCAUUUAAAGAAAGCGUAAUAGCUCACUGGUCGAGUCGGCCUGCGCGGAAGAUGUAACGGGGCUAAACCAUGCACCGAAGCUGCGGCAGCGACGCUUAUGCGUUGUUGGGUAGGGGAGCGUUCUGUAAGCCGUUGAAGGUGGCCUGUGAGGGUUGCUGGAGGUAUCAGAAGUGCGAAUGCUGACAUAAGUAACGAUAAUGCGGGUGAAAAACCCGCACGCCGGAAGACCAAGGGUUCCUGUCCAACGUUAAUCGGGGCAGGGUGAGUCGACCCCUAAGGCGAGGCCGAAAGGCGUAGUCGAUGGGAAACAGGUUAAUAUUCCUGUACUCGGUGUUACUGCGAAGGGGGGACGGAGAAGGCUAUGUUGGCCGGGCGACGGUUGUCCCGGUUUAAGCAUGUAGGCGGAUGUUCCAGGUAAAUCCGGAACGUUACUAACGCUGAGGUGUGAUGACGAGGCACUACGGUGCUGAAGUGACAAAUGCCCUGCUUCCAGGAAAAGCCUCUAAGCAUCAGGUAACAUCAAAUCGUACCCCAAACCGACACAGGUGGUCAGGUAGAGAAUACCAAGGCGCUUGAGAGAACUCGGGUGAAGGAACUAGGCAAAAUGGUGCCGUAACUUCGGGAGAAGGCACGCUGAUGGUAGGUGAAGUGACUUGCUCAUGGAGCUGAAAUCAGUCGAAGAUACCAGCUGGCUGCAACUGUUUAUUAAAAACACAGCACUGUGCAAACACGAAAGUGGACGUAUACGGUGUGACGCCUGCCCGGUGCCGGAAGGUUAAUUGAUGGGGUUAUCCGUAAGGAGAAGCUCUUGAUCGAAGCCCCGGUAAACGGCGGCCGUAACUAUAACGGUCCUAAGGUAGCGAAAUUCCUUGUCGGGUAAGUUCCGACCUGCACGAAUGGCGUAAUGAUGGCCAGGCUGUCUCCACCCGAGACUCAGUGAAAUUGAACUCGCUGUGAAGAUGCAGUGUACCCGCGGCAAGACGGAAAGACCCCGUGAACCUUUACUAUAGCUUGACACUGAACACUGGUCCUUGAUGUGUAGGAUAGGUGGGAGGCUUUGAAGUGUGGACGCCAGUCUGCAUGGAGCCAUCCUUGAAAUACCACCCUUUAAUGG
rnacentral:rRNA from 1 species